CCAUUUCCCCCUCUCUUUUUGCCAUUUCCCCCUCUCUUUUUGACAUUUCCCCAUCCCUGCUAUUGAAGGAGGCGGGAUCACCAUGAGCUCCAGAGGACCACUAAACUCUCCCCUUAAACCCUACUGAGUUCCUAAUUCCUCCUCAUGGGCCACCGUUUGGACCCCGUUUCCUUUCUUUCCUCUGACGCUGCUUUCUAAAGGACUUGGCUGUCUGGAAGAGCCACCAGACCUGAGGUGUGACCCCAUUCCCAUCACACGUUGGCACGGACACGGGGUGACAGGAUCGUGCAUGGCCCAGGAGCGCGCCUGUUCCCGUGUCCUCGGAGCGGCGGCGUUCCGUUAGCAAUCCAGGUCAGUUGUACAGUGAAUGCUGAUUCCUCUGCCCUCUAAAGCACCCGUGUGUGUGUGUGUGUGUGUGUGUGUGUGUGAUCCUGCUGCACGGAGCUCCCCACGCUUCCUUCUCCCAUGUGUUUAACACUGCCUCGUUUCCUAUUAGCCCGGAGCCUGGGGACAACAGACGCCGCUCAUCCGUUCCCAUCUCCAUGUUCCAGCUCCAUCAGGAGCACGGCGAAGUCUGUUCACAGAGGAUCCUGCAAGAGAACAGAGAUGGAAAAGGCCAUUUGGAUGGGGCACGGAGCAACCUGCUCUAAUGGAAGGUGUCCCUGCCCAUAGCAGAAGGUUGGAACUGGGUGUAAUUUAAGCUCAGGGCUAUAAAAAGGAUAAAGGUUUUCCAUGGGGAGCAUCCCUGUCUCAAGCCUGGGGGCUCAGCCAAUGCAGUUUGGCCUCAAAAUUGCAUCACCACUUGACAUUGUCCCUUCUGGAAGCCUCUGCUGAGCGGGACAGCUUGAUGGCUCUGGGAAGCAGUUGUCUGCCUGCAGGAAUUAAGGGGGAUUAUUUCUUUCCUUCCUUCUAGCAGGAAUAACAGGAAUACGAGCGCCGGCGAGGGCUCAUUCCCACAUGGAAGCAGCUGGCUUAGCGCUCUCGGCGGAGGAGAGCCAAGCAUUGCAAUGGGGAUUCCUGCACUUUCAGAGCAGCAGGGAGAUGUUUCUGGAUAACAGAGGCAAAUCCCAGGGCUGCUGUAAUGUUGUCACCUCUGCGAGGCCGUGUGGCAUUAACAUCGUGCCGACGGCACGAACCGCGGCUUCUGUCAGAGCCAAGGGGAAAAGAGCCCGGUGAUCCUUUGGGAAUGUCGUGCUUUCGGGGUCAGGUGGGUGGAAAAGGUCCCUGAAGCCCUGGGGAAGGGUUUUAACCGGCUUUGAAGGAGGCAAAGGCUUUGGGUUAACUCCUCUCGAGCGCCUGUGGGGAAGCACAGAUGCCUCCAGGCUGUUCCUCGCAGUGGAGCUGUGCCGGGAGGAAGCAGCCUUUGGAAAACUCAUCAGAUGCUGACAACCGAUUGUCCUUACUCAAUAGAUAAUCUAAGGCUGAUUCCAAACGGA